AUUGAACGCUGGCGGCAGGCCUAACACAUGCAAGUCGAGCGGAUGAAGGGAGCUUGCUCCUGGAUUCAGCGGCGGACGGGUGAGUAAUGCCUAGGAAUCUGCCUGGUAGUGGGGGAUAACGUCCGGAAACGGGCGCUAAUACCGCAUACGUCCUGAGGGAGAAAGUGGGGGAUCUUCGGACCUCACGCUAUCAGAUGAGCCUAGGUCGGAUUAGCUAGUUGGUGGGGUAAAGGCCUACCAAGGCGACGAUCCGUAACUGGUCUGAGAGGAUGAUCAGUCACACUGGAACUGAGACACGGUCCAGACUCCUACGGGAGGCAGCAGUGGGGAAUAUUGGACAAUGGGCGAAAGCCUGAUCCAGCCAUGCCACGUGUGUGAAGAAAGUCUUCGGAUUGUAAAGCACUUUAAGUUGGGAGGAAGGGCAGUAAGUUAAUACCUUGCUGUUUUGACGUUACCAACAGAAUAAGCACCGGCUAACUUCGUG
rnacentral:rRNA from 1 species